UACGUAGGGUGCAAGCGUUGUCCGGAAUUAUUGGGCGUAAAGAGCUUGUAGGCGGUUUGUCGCGUCUGCUGUGAAAAUCCGGGGCUCAACCCCGGACUUGCAGUGGGUACGGGCAGACUAGAGUGUGGUAGGGGAGACUGGAAUUCCUGGUGUAGCGGUGGAAUGCGCAGAUAUCAGGAGGAACACCGAUGGCGAAGGCAGGUCUCUGGGCCACUACUGACGCU
rnacentral:rRNA from 1 species